ACGGGAGGCAGCAGUGAGGAAUAUUGGUCAAUGGGCGAUGGCCUGAACCAGCCAAGUAGCGUGAAGGAUGACUGCCCUAUGGGUUGUAAACUUCUUUUAUAAAGGAAUAAAGUCGGGUAUGCAUACCCGUUUGCAUGUACUUUAUGAAUAAGGAUCGGCUAACUCCGUGCCAGCAGCCGCGGUAAUACGGAGGAUCCGAGCGUUAUCCGGAUUUAUUGGGUUUAAAGGGAGCGUAGAUGGAUGUUUAAGUCAGUUGUGAAAGUUUGCGGCUCAACCGUAAAAUUGCAGUUGAUACUGGAUGUCUUGAGUGCAGUUGAGGCAGGCGGAAUUCGUGGUGUAGCGGUGAAAUGCUUAGAUAUCACGAAGAACUCCGAUUGCGAAGGCAGCCUGCUAAGCUGCAACUGACAUUGAGGCUCGAAAGUGUGGGUAUCAAACAGGAUUAGAUACCCUGGUA
rnacentral:rRNA from 1 species